rnacentral:tRNA from 1 species
CCAAAGUUAGUGCAGCGUGGAAAGCGGGAAUGGAUUACGGCCAUUCAAGCGGUUAAUGCAGAUUGUUGAGCGAUCCUUCCGUUCAUCAUUGGU